CCUACGGGAGGCAGCAGUAGGGAAUCUUCCACAAUGGGCGAAAGCCUGAUGGAGCAACGCCGCGUGGGUGAAGAAGGUCUUCGGAUCGUAAAACCCUUUUGUUAAAGAAGAAAGUGCGUGAGAGUAACUGUUCACGUUUCGACGGGAUCUAACCAGAAAGCCACGGCUAACGACGUGCCAGCAGCCGCGGUAAUACGUAGGUGGCAAGCUGUGUCCGCAUUGAUUGGGCGUAAAGGGAACGCGUGCGGUCUUUUAAGUCUGAUGUGAAAGCCUUCGGCUUAAACGGAGUAGUGCAGUGGAAACUGGGAGACUUGAGUGCAGAAGAGGAGAGUGGAACUCCAUGUGUAGCGGUGAAAUGCGUAGAUAUAUGGCAGAACACCAGUGGCGAAAGCGGCUCUCCGGUCUCUCACUGACGCUGAGGUUCGAAAGCGUGGGUAGCAAACAGGAUUAGAUACCCCGGUAGUC
rnacentral:rRNA from 1 species